rnacentral:rRNA from 1 species
UUCCGGUUGAUCCCGCCGGACCUGACUGCUAUCGGAUUGGUACUAAGCCAUGCGAGUCGUUGUAGCAAUACAAGGCGGACGGCUCAGUAACACGUAGUCAACCUAACCUAUGGACGUGGAUAACCUCGGGAAACUGAGAAUAAACCGCGAUAGAUCAUUAUGCCUGGAAUGGCUUAUGGUUCAAACAAUUUAUUGCCGUAGGAUGGGACUGCGGCCUAUCAGCUUGUUGGUGAGGUAAUGGCCCACCAAGGCUAUAACAGGUACGGGCUCUGAGAGGAGAAGCCCGGAGAUGGGUACUGAGACACGGACCCAGGCCCUAUGGGGCGCAGCAGGCGAGAAACCUUAGCAAUGUGCGAAAGCACGACUAGGUUAAUCCGAGUGAUUUCCGUUGAAGAAAUCUUUUGUCAGUCGUAAAACCACAGACGAAUAAGGGGUGGGCAAGUCUGGUGUCAGCCGCCGCGGUAAUACCAGCACCUCGAGUGGUCAGGAGGUUUAUUGGGCCUAAAGCAUCCGUAGCCGGCUACGCAAGUCUCCGGUUAAAUCCAGCUGCUCAACAGAUGGGCUGCCGGAGAUACUACAUAGCUAGGGAGCGGGAGAGGUAGACGGUAUUCUGUGGGUAGGGGUAAAAUCCACUGAUCCAUAGAGGACCACCAGUGGCGAAGGCGGUCUACCAGAACGCGUUCGACGGUGAGGGAUGAAAGCUGGGGGAGCAAACCGGAUUAGAUACCCGGGUAGUCCCAGCUGUAAACGAUGCAAACUCGGUGAUGCAUUGGCUUAUGGCCAAUGCAGUGCCGCAGGGAAGCCGUUAAGUUUGCCGCCUGGGAAGUACGGACGCAAGUCUGAAACUUAAGGAAUUGGCGGGGGAGCA